UACACUCCUACGGGAGGCAGCAGUGGGGAAUAUUGCACAAUGGGCGCAAGCCUGAUGCAGCCAUGCCGCGUGUAUGAAGAAGGCCUUCGGGUUGUAAAGUACUUUCAGCGGGGAGGAAGGCGAUAAGGUUAAUAACCUUGUCGAUUGACGUUACCCGCAGAAGAAGCACCGGCUAACUCCGUGCCAGCAGCCGCGGUAAUACGGAGGGUGCAAGCGUUAAUCGGAAUUACUGGGCGUAAAGCGCACGCAGGCGGUCUGUCAAGUCGGAUGUGAAAUCCCCGGGCUCAACCUGGGAACUGCAUUCGAAACUAGCAGGCUAGAGUCUUGUAGAGGGGGGUAGAAUUCCAGGUGUAGCGGUGAAAUGCGUAGAGAUCUGGAGGAAUACCGGUGGCGAAGGCGGCCCCCUGGACAAAGACUGACGCUCAGGUGCGAAAGCGUGGGGAGCAAACAGGAUUAGAUACCCCUGUAGUCCCA
rnacentral:rRNA from 1 species